GCCUAUUAAGGUUCUCACCCAUUACUCUUCUACCAACAGAGGUACUACUUUCUCUUGUCUCUCUGCUCAUAUACUUUCUUUGUUGCACUGUCUCUAUCCUUCCUCUACCUCUGGAUCGCCCACGUCUCCCUCUACCCUUAGAAACACUCCUCUGGUUUCUCUUUUCAAUUUCCCACCUGAUUUACUUCAUUUCUUUUUUUGCCCUUUGGAUUCAAUUGUAAUGUCGUAGGUGUUUGCUUCCUUUCUCUUACUUUCCUUUGAGCUUGUGUCAUCAAUCACCUUUUUCUUAGAUUCUUGCUUCAAGCCAUUACUUCUCCUCUCCUUUCUCUCAUCCCGUUAUUUUCCCCAAUUGCCUUCAUUCUUGUUUUCCCCUGAACUGUUUGCAGCAACGACCUCCUCAGCUUAUUGGCCUACCCUUCUUUUCUUUUUUUUUUAUAAUUGGGGGAGGAGGGAUUCGAACCCUGCUAUUUAGGCAGGGGGA
rnacentral:lncRNA from 1 species